AUUUAUAUAGUUUAUAAAAACAUUACAUUUUCAUUGUAAAAAUAAAGAAAUUCUUUUAUAAAUU
rnacentral:tRNA from 1 species